rnacentral:rRNA from 1 species
GACGAACGCUGGCGGCGUGCUUAACACAUGCAAGUCGAGCGAUGAAGCUUCCUUCGGGAAGUGGAUUAGCGGCGGACGGGUGAGUAACACGUGGGUAACCUGCUUCAAAGUGGGGAAUAGCCUUCCGAAAGGGAGAUUAAUACCGCAUAAUAUGAGAGAAUCGCAUGAUUUUCUUAUCAAAGAUUUAUUGCUUUGAGAUGGACCCGCGGCGCAUUAGCUAGUUGGUAAGGUAACGGCUUACCAAGGCAACGAUGCGUAGCCGACCUGAGAGGGUGAUCGGCCACAUUGGAACUGAGACACGGUCCAGACUCCUACGGGAGGCAGCAGUGGGGAAUAUUGCGCAAUGGGGGAAACCCUGACGCAGCAACGCCGCGUGGGUGAUGAAGGUCUUCGGAUUGUAAAGCCCUGUUUUCUGGGACGAUAAUGACGGUACCAGAGGAGGAAGCCACGGCUAACUACGUGCCAGCCGCCGCAGUAA